GUCCUACGGGAGGCAGCAGUGAGGAAUAUUGGUCAAUGGCCGCAGGGCUGAACCAGCCAAGUCGCGUGAGGGAAGACGGCCCUACGGGUUGUAAGCCUCUUUUGUCGGGGAGCAAAGAGAGUCACGUGUGACUCAUUGAGAGUACCCGAAGAAAAAGCAUCGGCUAACUCCGUGCCAGCAGCCGCGGUAAUACGGAGGAUGCGAGCGUUAUCCGGAUUUAUUGGGUUUAAAGGGUGCGUAGGCGGGAUGCCAAGUCAGCGGUAAAAAUGCGGUGCUCAACGCCGUCGAGCCGUUGAAACUGGCGU
rnacentral:rRNA from 1 species